rnacentral:rRNA from 1 species
AUUGAACGAUGGCGGCAUGCUUUACACAUGCAAGUCGAACGGCAGCGGGGACUUCGGUCCGCCGGCGAGUGGCGAACGGGUGAGUAAUGCAUCGGAACGUGCCUAUCAGUGGGGGAUAACGCUUCGAAAGGAGUGCUAAUACCGCAUAUUCUCCGAGGAGGAAAGCAGGGGACCUUCGGGCCUUGCGCUGAUAGAGCGGCCGAUGUCGGAUUAGCUAGUUGGUGAGGUAAAGGCUCACCAAGGCGACGAUCCGUAGCGGGUCUGAGAGGAUGAUCCGCCACACUGGGACUGAGACACGGCCCAGACUCCUACGGGAGGCAGCAGUGGGGAAUUUUGGACAAUGGGCGAAAGCCUGAUCCAGCCAUGCCGCGUGAGUGAAGAAGGCCUUCGGGUUGUAAAGCUCUUUUGUCCGGGAGGAAAUCCUGGCCUCUAAUACAGGUCGGGGAUGACAGUACUGGAAGAAUAAGCACCGGCUAACUACGUGCCAGCAGCCGCAGUAA